rnacentral:miRNA from 3 species
ACGGUAUCUCUCCUACGUAGC